UACGUAGGGUGCAAGCGUUAAUCGGAAUACUGGGCGUAAAGCGUGCGCAGGCGGUUGUGCAAGACAGAUGUGAAAUCCCCGGGCUUAACCUGGGAAUUGCAUUUGUGACUGCACAGCCUAGAGUGUGUCAGAGGGGGGUAGAAUUCCACGUGUAGCAGUGAAAUGCGUAGAGAUGUGGAGGAAUACCGAUGGCGAAGGCAGCCCCCUGGGCCAAUACUGACGCUCAUGCACGAAAGCGUGGGGAGCAAACAGG
rnacentral:rRNA from 1 species